GGAGUCUAGCAUGUGCGCGAGUCAUUGGGACCGAGCUAAACCUAAAGGCGAAAUGAAAGUGAAAGUUUGCCUCGCGCAAACCGAGGGAGGAUGGGCCGCGCAUCAGUCGCGGCCCCGCACUCCCGGGGCGUCUCGUUCUCAAUGCGAGAAGAGGCGCACCUAGAGCGCACACGCUGGGACCCGAAAGAUGGUGAACUAUGCCUGGUCAGGACGAAGUCAGGGGAAACCCUGAUGGAGGUCCGUAGCGAUUCUGACGUGCAAAUCGAUCGUCGGAACUGGGUAUAGGGGCGAAAGACUAAUCGAACCAUCUAGUAGCUGGUUCCCUCCGAAGUUUCCCUCAGGAUAGCUGGCGCUCGUUUUCCGAGUCUCAUCCGGUAAAGCGAAUGAUUAGAGGCAUUGGGGUCGAAACGGCCUCAACCUAUUCUCAAACUUUAAAUGGGUGAGAACUCCGGCUUGCUUGAAUGCUGGUGAAGCCGCGAGUUUUCUCUCGUUCUCGGCCGUUCGUUCAGUCGAAACGAGAGGAGGAGGAUCAGAGUGCCAAGUGGGCCACUUUUGGUAAGCAGAACUGGCGCUGUGGGAUGAACCAAACGUAGAGUUAAAGCGCCAAAAUCGACGCUUAUGGGAUACCAUGAAAGGCGUUGGUAACUUAAGACAGCAGGACGGUGGCCAUGGAA
rnacentral:rRNA from 1 species